CAGUCGCCACGGGAAUACAGAGGGUGCGAGCGUUAAUCGGAUUUACUGGGCGUAAAGCGUGCGUAGGCGGCUAAUUGAGUCGGAUGUGAAAUCCCCGAGCUUAACUUGGGAAUUGCAUUCGAUACUGGUUAGCUAGAGUGUGGGAGAGGAUGGUAGAAUUCCAGGUGUAGCGGUGAAAUGCGUAGAGAUCUGGAGGAAUACCGAUGGCGAAGGCAGCCAUCUGGCCUAACACUGACGCUGAGGUACGAAAGCAUGGGGAGCAAACAGGAUUAGAUACCCCGAUAGUCCCUGUCUCUUAUAC
rnacentral:rRNA from 1 species